rnacentral:rRNA from 1 species
CUGCCAGGAUGAACGCUGGCGGCGUGCCUAAUACAUGCAAGUCGAGCGAACGGACGAGAAGCUUGCUUCUCUGAUGUUAGCGGCGGACGGGUGAGUAACACGUGGAUAACCUACCUAUAAGACUGGGAUAACUUCGGGAAACCGGAGCUAAUACCGGAUAAUAUUUUGAACCGCAUGGUUCAAAAGUGAAAGACGGUCUUGCUGUCACUUAUAGAUGGAUCCGCGCUGCAUUAGCUAGUUGGUAAGGUAACGGCUUACCAAGGCAACGAUGCAUAGCCGACCUGAGAGGGUGAUCGGCCACACUGGAACUGAGACACGGUCCAGACUCCUACGGGAGGCAGCAGUAGGGAAUCUUCCGCAAUGGGCGAAAGCCUGACGGAGCAACGCCGCGUGAGUGAUGAAGGUCUUCGGAUCGUAAAACUCUGUUAUUAGGGAAGAACAUAUGUGUAAGUAACUGUGCACAUCUUGACGGUACCUAAUCAGAAAGCCACGGCUAACUACGUGCCAGCAGCCGCGGUAAUACGUAGGUGGCAAGCGUUAUCCGGAAUUAUUGGGCGUAAAGCGCGCGUAGGCGGUUUUUUAAGUCUGAUGUGAAAGCCCACGGCUCAACCGUGGAGGGUCAUUGGAAACUGGAAAACUUGAGUGCAGAAGAGGAAAGUGGAAUUCCAUGUGUAGCGGUGAAAUGCGCAGAGAUAUGGAGGAACACCAGUGGCGAAGGCGACUUUCUGGUCUGUAACUGACGCUGAUGCGAAA